rnacentral:lncRNA from 1 species
UUUCACUGAUUGAACAAUAUGGCACAAGUGACAGUGGGGUUGGUACAGAUAUAACCACGAGGCCUCUGGCAGACUGGCGCAGGUAACCACAGCCGUGGGUAUCUGUACCAAUACCAUGACCACAAGUGCCAUAUUGCUUUUUACAUCAGUUCCACUUCCAUCACGUUUAAGAUAUCAAAUUGUGUUUUCAUAUUUAUGUAGAUUUAUUUAUUUUUUAUUUCAUCCACUCCAAAAUAGUUGCUAAUCUUCCAUCUCUGUUGCCAAGCACGCAAUAUAUCAAUCAAGAGAAGGGUCCAGUGAGACAGGCUAUAUGGUCUUAUUCACACAAGAAUGUGUAGCAGUUGCUUGUAGGGUUCCCACAGGUCAUGGAAUAUUUGGAAUAUCAUGGAUUUUCAGGAAAGGUCAGGGAAUGAUCAUUUUUGGGGCAAAGUCAUGGAAUGCUGGGGAAUUUUGUUUUAGCAGUUUAAAAUGUAUUAUUAAUACAAAUAUACUGUAUUUCCACACAAAAUCAAUGUAUAUCUGGCUAUUAGCUUUACUGCUUGCUUGAGUAGUUGUGGUUAACCCAACUUCAAUUCAAAUUCAAUGCCCAUUUAUUCAUCUCCCACUCUAAAAAGUAAAAGAUGCUUGAACGCUAUGAGGCUACUCUGAAAUCAUUGGUCAGUUUAUUGUACCAUUCAUAGUAGGUCAUGGAAGUUCAUUUUUUUGUCUGGGGAACUCAAGUCAUGGAAUUUUACAUUUGACUUAACAUGGGAACCCUGUGCUUCUCUAUACUUCACAUGCUAUACUAAACAUUUGCCCUACUCCAUCUUCUCACUCAAUAAUGGCUUUGAGUGAGUGGAACAUUCAUGUCAGACAUGCAUGCUAGCGGUGAAAAGUAUGAGUAAUGAUCCUCAUCCAAUCAGAUAAAAUGACAGUUAAAUCAGAUCUAGCGCUUGUGAAAUGACAUUCAUAUAUGUGCUAUUUUCUGUCACAAUGUGAUACUUAUUCUUUGUGUCAUAAUGUGAUACUGUGUCCUUGUUUUAGGGCUGCCAGGACUGGUGUCUUCACUCAAAACCGUCCUAAACAAAUGGCAGAUUCACCUUCUUCCAUGAAUUCCAGCCAAAGCGACUCACCAUGCACUGGCAGUGACACUGGCAGUGAAGACAUGAUGUCAUUGAGCAACUCAUCAGUGCAAGUCCCAAAACGUCUCUAUCAGAGGCUGAGUGGGAGGAGGAUGUCCCUCUUUACACAGGAACUGGCCACAUUGGUGUUUGGAAGGGAAACUUUGGCCAAGGCAAUCCUCACAGGGAAAGGGAAAAAAGGCGAGCUGAAGGAGCAGCUUGAGCCAGAAAAAACCAACGCAAUUAUAGAUGCAGUGAGGGAGCGAUUCCCCAACACAGAGGUGACCGAGAUCCGGGCCCUUCUACGGAGGAAGUGCAACAAUGAGAGCUACAAGGCCUUAUCUCAUAAUCAGAGUUAG